UUGCCCCUUUCUAGUGAUUAUCCAUUUUGUUAGCACUUUAUAGUGCAUGGUCACAUUUCAUAGCAUCGGCAUUCUUAGAUUAUUAUUUUGUAUAGCACAUAGUGCUAAUGGCAUUCUUUCAUUUUCAUUGCGGAUAUUAAAGUUUUGUUUAAAAAAGGAAAGCACUUUUAUUAGUGUUGUCGGUGGUGGUUUUCGAUGUUUAUUUUGUGGACUCCAAAUGAGGUUUCAAUACGGCAAACUAUUUGAUAUAGGGCAAAUAGCAAUUCGAUAUAACAAAGGCAUUUCAUUUUGAGUUGUUCGAACCCUAAACAUGGCUGUCGCCAUGAAAAUCUUUGUGACAGUUACUAUGAGAAGUUUUCUUGGUCGCUGGUUUUGGGUUUCAGUUAUGACGAGCAACAGACUUUGGAGAUUCAGCUGUUGUUCUCUUUGGCCGAAGAUUUGGGGACAUGCAGAUUUUGUGGGGCUAUGUUUUUCUGCUUUGGUAAACCGAUAAUUGGUUUUUGAUUCAGUUUUCUCAGACCCUAGUUAGGGUUUGGUAACCCUAUACGAGGGUUACAGUUUGAAGACAUAUGGUUUACUGGCAAUGUCAUUAAGAGACACAUUUUUGCAGAAAAAGAUGACGAAGCUUGAAUAAAAACAAAGAUAUUAUAUUAGCACCUUGACUGAAAUAUUAUGAAAAAAAAUGGGUUUUGUUCCACUACAAAAGGCAGAGUAUUGUGAAAGAAGAUUAUCUGGUUGUUACACAGAGAUUUGAAAAGCUUUAUUGGCAAUCUUGUGUAGUUGGAUUUAUUGAUAUUACCUCAAACUCGUUUCAUUCAUUGAUAAUUUUGUGAUUGCAAAAUAUAUUGUAAUUAUAAGUUUAUCAGUGAUUGUAACUUGAGUUGUUUUCCUAGCAUUGUAUGAGACAUAGGGGUUGGUGCUCCUUGAAGUUUGAUACUUCUAAAUUCAGUGUACAGAGUUGGUGCUCUUUCAGUUUAUAAAAGGAUCUAUUUGAA